CACAAACGUCAAAAUACAAUAACACAAUACAUAAGGCAGGUUAAAGAAUUGGAAUACAUUUAACUACACAUCUUGAAGAAAUAAAGAAACAACAACAUAGAAAACCAACAAAUUAGAAAAGAAAAUACAAAUACAAACACCCCAUUUCCCCCACAGACAAUCUGCUGGUUGGUAGCGACAAGCGGAACUAAAGCCGCGGUCGAGGCGCCGUGCCGGUCCUUUACAUGCACGGACCGGAAAUCCGGAAACUCGGCGACCACUAUUCACAGCCCACAGCUCCAGCCAUCCACUCCACAGCGGUAACUUAAACUCAAAGAAAUCAAUAUUAAUAAAAGUAUGUACCGUACACCAUAAACUAGAAUGUGUGCACUCCAACUAGUUAAUGAUUUAACAAAACUUAAACAUAUAAAUGAGAAAGAAACCGUGUCUAAAUCUUAUUGCCAUAUACAUAUGCUAUGAAUAGAGAAACCAUUAAGUGAUUUAUCCGGUACAUGUUUGAGCUUCUCGUUUCCGUUCAAAGCAUGUGUCUGUGUGUUUAUGUGCUAUGUAUGUAUAACAUUAAUGCUCACUUACGUGUGGCUGCAUCGUGGGCCAUCACACUGAGAAACUGUGAUAUACAAUUAACUAAAUUGUUGUAUUGAUUCCGAUCUUUGCGACACACUCUAAUGGCGAAAUCGUCAGGAUUCGUACGACUUUUCUGAAUGUGGCUAAUUCGUAUGAUAUAGUGCAACUGCACUCGUUUGAACUCCUACGACUUUCACUACAGCCAAUGACGUUGCUGGACAUUGUUUCCAUCUAGUACGCCACUAUUACUUGCUUCUGUCACACACACAACAGCUUCUUAUCCUGUUUACACACACUACUGAUUGGUUAAGUUUGGGUAAGGGCAUAAUAUUAAUAAGUAUUUCAAGAACUCAAGCAUUAGACAUUCAGGAAUUUGCACGUGAAGUCGUACAAUUUAUAUGAACAUCAUCAUGCGAGACCAUAUGAACACUUUAACAGUUAGGGGCGUUCGGGCUACAAAAUAUAAAUAAAAUAUAGCAAAAAUCAAGAUAUAAUUGCAAAAAUCAAUGACUGUUGAUAAUCAAUCUUUUUUUUUUAUCUCUGCAACAGAUUUUUAGGCAGCAAUGAUUUUGCCACACAUCUUUUUUUUGCGAUAUAUACUAAUUAUUUUGCAACGCUCCUUUUAAUCUGCAUUUACAUCAUGUGUGAGUUCGUGAUGCCGUUUUGCCUUAAAGUGAAAUGCACAGAAAAGCGCAAUGUUUUGAUGUGGGGGUGGAGUCAGGAGAUUGGGGCGUGUACAACAGCCCGUUACGUCAUUAGCUUGCGACAUGGCCGAGCGGAGGCCUGCGGGUCGAUCUCAGGUGUGUAAAGUUGAUUGUUUCCUUUUAUUUAAUUAGCAUUAAAUGUGUAUUAACAGCGUUUGCUUCAGAUAAAGAAGUUAGAGAUCAGUUAAAGCGCUGGAUUUAUUAGCCAUACUCGCUAACGUUAGCCAGCAGCUUUGGAUAGUGUACAUAUUUGUAAGGAAUUAUUAAUGUGUGCCAUCACAAUUAUGCCAUCAGUGUUGAACUGGGAAAGAUGAUAAUGGAGAGACGCAUGGAGUUGCCAACCAUUGGAUUUAGACUACUUUCAGUUUGUAUGCAACCAUGAGCUUUUCAUCACCUCAGUGUAUAAUCAAAUUACAGUCUCAGAAGUGUAUAACUGCCCUUGAAGUGUAAUAUGGAGUAAAGGGACCUCCAAAGUGUAUCAUUUCCAGAGAGUAUCUUCAGAAACUAGUGAAUAUGCGGCUGUCUGUUCCAUGUAUUGCCCAGAUCCUUGGUGUGUCAACAAGGACUAUCAAUGGUUGUCUCAAUGAGUAUGGCAUUUCUGUAAAACACACCUACGAGGAGGAGGUUGAAAGUCCACACCUAGGGCAUAGAAUGAUGAAAGGACGGUUGCAAGCACUGGGUCACCGUGUGCCAUGGACAGGUGUUUGAGACUCCAUGCAUCGAGAGGACGCUGCUGGACUACAAGGAUGACACCGUUGAGGUGUAUAGUCAGGACACAAACCACAAGCUUAUAAGAGUUCGAGGAGACAAUGUGGAGAUCGCUAGGUGCAUGUUUGCUGUGGGAGGGGAAAUUACAUGUCAGGAAGACACGUGCAUAACCAGCGCAUUGAACGCCUUUGGCGUGACAAAUGAAUGGUGGAUACAAACAUCUUAGAAGGGUUACUUGAUCCAACCAACAGCCUGCCCUCCAGGCCCCUUCCAAACCCUGUUACUCCUCCAGAAUGUGAGGUCUCAUAGUGUUGUAAAUUGCACAGAACAAGUUAAUUUAUAAACUUUCACCUAAUGUAUUGCACCAAUAAAACAUGUCCAUCCACUUUUCACAGAAUGUGCAAGACAAAGACUGACUGGGACACAGCCAGUCCAGUCGAAUGGCCUUUGACUGAAGAACAUGUGGCCCAAUCUCACAACAAAUAUGUAACCGUACUAACUUUUGUGCUCCAUUCUUAACUGACAGUGUCUAAUCAGGCACUUUACAAUGAAUCAUCACUCCAUAGGCAGGACAUUUAUUUGUAAUACAUUUUUUUUUAUUAUUCAUACAAAGUGAGAAGAACAUGUGCACAGUCAGUAGGAUGCAUUGCUUGUAUUUUAAACUCCAGUGUCCAAAUGGAUGGCUUGCAACAUGACUGUUUUGAAUGAUUUAUAAUUAUGUGUGCUGUAGGAAAUGUAAACUGUAUUAUACAGGGGACAGUUAGGGGCAUCCUCUACAAGCAAGAGAACAAUAUAGCUGACAUUAAAUGACCUAAAACUAAGUGGACAUGUAGAAAGUUUGUAUGACAGUUGUUAAUUUCUCUUGCUAACUGUGAGGUUCCAUAUCAGAUACAUAAAAUCUUGUCUUGCAUACCAGCACUUUCAAUUUCCUGAAGAAAAUCUUGUAGGAAGUUGAUUUGGGAAUAAUGCUCUGCAUCAACCUGUGGGAUGACACAACAAAUAUGCAUGUUCAGGUACUGAGAGCACCACUAAUAAAGAUGUUUAUCGCUUGUGAAAUAAACGAUGAAAUUAGUAGAGGACAGUACCUCAGAAUAUGUGACAAUCUAUAACCCAGUAAAUAAUACAAUUAAAUACAGAUGGGGUCUCAAUGAAUGAUACCUUAUCGUCCACUGCACACAAAGAAAUGUUGGCAAAGUCCUGAAUGUUCUUGCGAGAUGUGCACUUGGGAUCAGAUGCAGGGUUGCAUGCAGCACAACAGCUCUGGAAUAAUCAUACAUUUUUAAUAAAAAAUCUGGUAUAAAACACCAAUCAGCCAUAACAUGGUGCAGUUGGCACCAUUCGGAGUAAAUUCUAGAGGCUGUUGUGCAUGAAAAUCCCAGAAAUACUCAAACCAGCCCAUCUGGCACAAA